UACGUAGGGUGCAAGCGUUGUCCGGAAUUAUUGGGCGUAAAGAGCUCGUAGGCGGUCUGUCGCGUCGGCUGUGAAAACUCGGGGCUCAACCCCGAGCCUGCAGUCGAUACGGGCAGACUAGAGUGCUGUAGGGGAGACUGGAAUUCCUGGUGUAGCGGUGAAAUGCGCAGAUAUCAGGAAGAACACCCGUGGCGAAGGCGGCUCUCUGGAACGCAACUGACGCUGAGACGCGAAAGCGUGGGGAGCAAACAGG
rnacentral:rRNA from 1 species